UAAAGUCUUUUGCCCCAAACCAUUCAACUCCCUCUAUUGAUGGUCCCUCCGUCCCCUCCCACCAGCACCGCCAGCUCCGUCCCCUUUAGAAGUCGACGGUAACCAGCAACCAUAAAACUGUGUCCCCUCCCUCUGUCGACGAUUGACAACAGCUCCAGCUUCGUCCCCUCCCAAAGUCGACGAUAGCAGCUCUAGCUCGGUUGCUAUUGAAUGAUAUCAUCAAGUAACAACAACAUCGACCAUACCAAAUUUGAAAUUAUACGAUGUCAGGACUGUAGACUAAGAGCAUUGGUGUUAGUCUCUAGAUCGAUCAAGAACCCUGGAAGACUAUAUUAUGGACGUAAACAGCAUGGAUGGUUAAAAUGGAUGAAGUCUGAUACUAAACUAAAUGAAGAUACUAGUGAUAUUGACUUUAGGAUGUUACCAAGAAUGGAGUCAAGGGUAGGAAGUGAACACAUUGUUUAUCCUGUACAUAAUAUGAAAAAUUGGAAUGUACCACUUAUGAUUUGGAUAUUGGUGAUAAUGAACUUAAUUAUUUUGAUUGUAUACUUAUUUUAUUUAUUAGUUGGAUUGGUUAAAUAGUGCUAUUAUUGUAAUGUGAUAAAAAAAUAUUAUUAUGAAUGAUUGUUUUUUUUUUUUUUGUU